GGAUUCGUAGCUCAGUGGUAGAGCGAGAGAUUGCAGAUCUCUAGGUCACGUGUUCGAACCACGUCGGAUCCU
rnacentral:tRNA from 1 species